CUACGGGUCGCAGCAGUGGGGAAUAUUGCACAAUGGGCGCAAGCCUGAUGCAGCCAUGCCGCGUGUAUGAAGAAGGCCUUCGGGUUGUAAAGUACUUUCAGCGGGGAGGAAGGGAGUAAAGUUAAUACCUUUGCUCAUUGACGUUACCCGCAGAAGAAGCACCGGCUAACUCCGUGCCAGCAGCCGCGGUAAUACGGAGGGUGCAAGCGUUAAUCGGAAUUACUGGGCGUAAAGCGCACGCAGGCGGUUUGUCAAGUCAGAUGUGAAAUCCCCGGGCUCAACCUGGGAACUGCAUCUGAUACUGGCAAGCUUGAGUCUCGUAGAGGGGGGUAGAAUUCCAGGUGUAGCGGUGAAAUGCGUAGAGAUCUGGAGGAAUACCGGUGGCGAAGGCGCCCCCCUGGACGAAGACUGACGCUCAGGUGCGAAAGCGUGGGGAGCAAACAGGAUUAGAUACCCUAGUAGUC
rnacentral:rRNA from 1 species